UCCUUGUAUCAAAAUCUAAUGUAUAUUUCUAUUUUGAAGUGCGGCCCUGGACUAUUAUUUAUAGGACUGAGGUGGACCUCUGUACAUGUUGAGAUUGGCAUGCCUGCUUUAGAGGAACAUGUAUUUCUGUAUGACACCUGCAUUAAUUACAGAUCUGCUGGAAAGUAUCGAUGAAAAUUUAAACUUAAAUUUUGUGAUGAAAGAGUUCCCAGCAGACAAACAAUUCAUAAUUUGGUGAAUCAACUUAGAACAAAGGGACUCCUAACAGGCAAGAAAACAUGUGCGUCAAAUCCUUACUGAGGAGAAGUUAGACUUGAACAUACACCUAGAAAAUCACUGAAACAUCUAGCUCGAGAGACUGGAGUGUCAAAGCCUAGCGCAAGAAUGGCAACACAUAAAUAUGCAAAUUAAAGGCUACUGGAUUUCACAGAAUCCACAUCUAUACUAUGAAGCCCUGCUCCAUCCAGUGAAAGCUGGUGUCUGCUGUGCUUAAAGUGCAAAAAGGUGUAACCGUACGCACCCUUCACGGAGGUAUCUUAUCUGUUUAUGCUUAGCGAUUGGGUUUGGCUGUGGAAGUGAGAUGCCCCAGAGGGUUCAUGGUCCUCUGAACUGGCCUUUUGUUACGAGGGACAGAAGGGAGGUUGGUGAGUCCAUUGCAUUCGGGGGGGUGUAGGUAUACCUCCUUUCGUCCGUGCCUGUGGGGGUGGAGGACCUGUGGAUCGAAGCUUCAAGAACGUUCGAGAAGGUGUGCAGACCGGAAGGGGUCCGUGCAUUUGGUCAUGAAGCCCUCCCAGUGGAAAGUUCGAGAUGGUGUAGAACGUGGUUUCUGGAAGCAGCAGCGGGGGUAAGGGUUAGUCAGUGAGUGGAAGCCGAGGAGUCAGUGAGUAGAAGCCAGGUAGUGAGGGUGUUCCUGUGGAACCUGUGCUAGGGGGUUAACCGAUCGAGC